rnacentral:lncRNA from 1 species
UGUGUGGCUUCCUGCACAUCUGCCUGUGGCUGGGGUCAUUCCUUGUGGGCACCACAGCUUUUGUCUGCAUCUGGACAACUUGAUG